AAAUAAGCUCAUUCGCGUGACUUUGCCCCCUUUUCUGUCGUACGCCUUCCCAAAUUCCCCCGCCGAAAGGAGCCCGCCCCCUGCCGCGGCCACCGCUCCGGCCGGAUCUCCGCUGCGUCCAGAAAAUUACAGGAACGAUGCAGUUCUUCACAGUCGGCAUCUCCCAAUAUAUAUAGCCUCAUGGAUUUCAACGGCGUUAUAGAUCCUGCAUUAUACUACCUUCGUGAUGGUUGACUCAGUGCUGAAGUAGAACUCUGGUUGCUAUGUGUUCGAAGCUGGUGUGAAGUAGAUGAGAUACAGUACUCUCCUGAUGUGUGGAACCUUUUGUGGAAGAGCAUUGUGUCUGAUCUUUGGUUAUGCUUCAUCGGACACUAACUGUGUUACUCGAGUAGGUUCUGUAAGUGAAUCGGUUGGUUAUUGAGGGCUAGUGAUUAUGGUUGUAUUAUUAAGGAAGUUCGAUUGCUGCUGCAUUUGUUUUAUGUUUAUGCAUGUAUUUUUUUCAACUAAAUUUUCUGUUCUAUUUUUGGUUGUCUAAUGCUUAUUUGUUCA